rnacentral:rRNA from 1 species
UACGGGGGGGGCAAGCGUUGUUCGGAAUUACUGGGCGUAAAGAGCUCGUAGGCGGUUCGGUAAGUCAGCUGUGAAAUCUCCACGCUCAACGUGGAGGGGUCAGCUGAUACUGCCGUUCUUGAGGAUUGCAGAGGAGACUGGAAUUCCCGGUGUAGCGGUGAAAUGUGUAGAGAUCGGGAGGAACACCGGUGGCGAAGGCGGGUCUCUGGGCAAUUCCUGACGCUGAGGCGCGAAAGCGUGGGGAGCAAACGGG